UAUUUGUGGACUCAUGGACAU
rnacentral:miRNA from 1 species